rnacentral:rRNA from 1 species
AGUGAACGCUGGCGGUAGGCCUAACACAUGCAAGUCGAACGGCAGCACAGUAAGAGCUUGCUCUUACGGGUGGCGAGUGGCGGACGGGUGAGGAAUACAUCGGAAUCUACUUUUUCGUGGGGGAUAACGUAGGGAAACUUACGCUAAUACCGCAUACGACCUACGGGUGAAAGCAGGGGAUCUUCGGACCUUGCGCGAUUGAAUGAGCCGAUGUCGGAUUAGCUAGUUGGCGGGGUAAAGGCCCACCCAGGCGGCGAUCCGUAGCUGGUCUGAGAGGAUGAUCGGCCACACUGGAAGUGAGACACGGUCCAGACUCCUAAGGGAGGCAGCAGUGGGGUAUAUUGGGCAAUGGGCGCAAGCCUGAUCCAGCCAUACCGCGUGGGUGAAGAAGGCCUUCGGGUUGUAAAGCCCUUUUGUUGGGAAAGAAAAGCAGCAGGUUAAUACCCCGCUGUUCUGACGGUACCCAAAGAAUAAGCACCGGCUAACUUCGUG